UACGUAGGUGGCAAGCGUUGUCCGGAUUUACUGGGCGUAAAGAGCGCGCAGGCGGUCAGAUAAGUCGAAUGUGAAAGCCCCCCGGCUCAACUGGGGAGGGUCAUUCGAUACUGUUCGACUCGAAGGCAGGAGAGGGAAGCGGAAUUCCCGGUGUAGUGGUGAAAUGCGUAGAUAUCGGGAGGAACACCAGUGGCGAAGGCGGCUUCCUGGCCUGUUCUUGACGCUGAGGCGCGAAAGCUAGGGGAGCAAACGGG
rnacentral:rRNA from 1 species